UGGAACCGUGCAGGUCCCAUCAGCAGUGCCACUAAGCUGGCCCCCAGUGUCAGUGCCCUACCAGACUUCAUUGGCCAAAGUGGCCUCAGACUAUGUUCUUGGGGGCUCCGGGCAGAAGCUGCCGCUCAGGGAGGGGAAGCCACUUCAAGGCUCCUACCGAAACCUGGCACUGCCGCCACUUCCCUGCAGGGAGCCGCAUGUCAGGUGCUGACCUGCCAGCCCAGGCCAGGACCCUGCUCACGGCCACACAGGGUGCCCACCUGCUGCUGCCCCAUCCAGAAAACCCAAUUCCUCCACUUUACAGAUGGGAAACUGCAGCCCCUCUGGGCAGACUGGGCCAUGCACAGGACAGCAUGAAGGAAAAGCAGCAAGGUUAGAGGCAGCCAGAAAGACUAACCGGGUCAGACACAGCAGCAGGUCAGCCCACGCCGGCCGGGGCCUUUCCAGAAGCUGCUUGGCGAGGUGGUGUGGAGGUGACACUGGUGGACACGGAAGCCGAGCGCCAGGCAGACUCGCCACCACCACAAUCCCAGGUGGCAGCUGAGUCCACAUGCUCGAGGCGGCAUCACUGCGUCAUCCCCUGAAAGGGGAGCUCUUGGGAUUACUGUUAGCUGGAGCCUACGCAGGCCCUGCGGGACAAGCAGGGACCACCACCUGAGCCAACCUUUCCCAAAUCCACCCACCUGACGUCACCGGAGCAAGGCAGCCUGAGACAAGGUAAGCCAACGCCCACGAGCAUCCCCUGGAGCUGCCAAGGAGCUCCCCCAAGCCCCUCCCCUGCACUGCCCCUGUGUCCGGUCUGCUGAAGGAGGCCCGGAAGAUGACAAGGACCCUCAAGGGGGAGGCAGCCCAGGGCCCACGUUGGUACAGGGCCUCUCUCUCAGCAGGAGCCACCGUCAAGACAGGGCUGGCACCCAAGGGCCCCAGCACAAGCCGCAAAGGCCUCCCAGACUCACUCUCCCACAGUGUGCACACAAAGACAGGACCUUCACCCCGUUCACUCCUCGGCUGGAGACACUAGGUGUCCUGCCCCUAAUCUCACAAGAGCCACCUCAUAAACCCUGUAAGCUCUGGGAAGGGCAGCUGGGCACAGCUGAAAGCCCAGUCACCAGCCCGUGUCCUGGGUGGGACCGGGCAGGAGGGGCCAUCUCCUACUGCCGAUCAACCCGAGAGCCCUGGCUGGGAUCUGUCUUCCUUCACCAACGGGAGCUCUGGCCCCAGGGCCCUGCCCACCUCUGUGCACCCCACACUGCAGCAGGGAGCACCCUGCAAGGAGGAACUGGGCACCCUGCAGGGGUCUGGUGGAGACGAGGAUGCUACGGAGGCAGCUGCCCCAUGGGACUAGUAAAAGGGGUCUUGGGUGGGCUUCCCCGCAGAGAGGAAGCCCUCAGGAGACACCACAGUGAGCCAUGCUGGAGACCUGGAGGCCAGGCCCGUCACCUGGGGAGCUGGCCACUAACAGCGGGCAGACAGCCUCCCAGGACAGCCAGCACAGCCCCCCAUACUUCUGAGCUCACCUCCUCAUUUCCCCGCUUCCCGCGUUCCCAAGCACGGGAGGACCUGCCGGACCGGGCGCACCGUCUGUCCUAACACAGAUCAAGUCUGAGCUUCAACGCUUGCGCCGGCGACAGGCACACCCGGGCCUCCCCUCUCCAGCAGGAGGGCCCGGAGCAGGACGCGACGUCUUUUUCAACUGUAUCCCUACAAACGGUCAGCCCCUUUGCCCCUGCAAUUUAUCCAAGCUCAGGAGGAGCUUUCUAAAGAGAACACAGGGAGACAGUCGGCUGCCAGAGCCAGGCCCCAGGGGGAAAUGGCCCAAGUGUCCCUACUCUGCUCCUGGAAGCAGGCCAGGCUCACCACCGACGCUCUUCCCUGAGGGGCAGACAGUGUCUGCUGAGCAUCUGAGCCUCUGGCAGCUGCCCAGAGUCUGACAGUGCCGUGGGGUCCUGGCUCUGGAAGGCUCUACCCAGCUAACAGGGCCUGUGACACAGGUGGCACCCAGCAAGACCCACUGCAGCGGCAUGGCCCUCACAGCCUCCUCUGUUCCUGUCCUGGGAGCAGCCCCGGCAAAGACUCCUACCCGGAAGACUCCAGGUCAGGAGGGCGGGGUCCUGAGGAAGGUGAGGACAUCCGGGAGGGCUGUGGCCACCAAGGUGCUGCACGGCCUGGAGGGCUCCACACACCUGGGCAAACGGAAGCCUUCUGGGAGGAGCUGGCUCCCAGGCCCUGCCCUCCAAGCCACCCCAUCACAGUCGCACACACACACAGGCUUCCAGAUUGUCCACCCUCCACAGAGAGAAGUCAGGGAGGUGGGCAGGGGAUGGGGUCAGCCACCGACUCAGCCUGUGCAUGCCCACCCCUCCCAGCAGCACCCCUCUCCGGCCACCUGGCUGGCCUGAGUCUGUGGCCUGGCACUGCCUGAUAGAACUUUCAGCAUCUUCAGUGCCCAAAGGGCGCGACGACUAGCCCUUAAAAUGAGGCUGGAGCCCAAGGAAGCGGGUCUUUAGGCAGAACCACCGCACGGCAGAGCAGCGCACAGGACAGAUCAAUGUCUUCCUGCCUGGAGUGAGGCCUUUGGUCUUUUUUUUUUUUUGAGAUGGAGUCUCGCUCUGUCACCAGGCUGGAGUGCAGUGGCGCAAUCUUGGCUCACGGCAACCUCCAACUCCCCGGUUCAAGCGAUUCUCCUGCCUCAGCCUCCCAAGUAGCUGGGACUACAGGCACGCGCAACGACGGCCAACUAAUUUUUGGUUUUUUUUUGAGAUGGAGUUUCACUCUGUUGCCCAGGCUGGAGUGCAGUGGUACGAUCUCAGCUCACUGCAACUUCCGCCUCCUGGGUUCAAGCGAUUCUCCUGCCUCAGCUUCCCAAGUAGCUGGGAUUACAGGCAUCUGCCACCACACCUGGCUAAUUUUUUUUUCAUAUUUUUAGUAGAGAUGGAGUUUCACCAUGUUUGCCAGGCUGGUCUCGAACUCCUGACCUCAGGUGAUCUGCCUGCCUUGGCCUCCCACAGUGCUGGGAUUACAGGCGUGAGCCAUGCGGCCGGCCUAAUUUUUGUAUUUUUAGUAGAGACGGGGGGGUUUCACCAUGUUGGCCAGGAUGGUCUCGAUCUGACCUCGUGAUCUGCCCGCCUCGGCCUCCCAAAGUGCUGGGAUCACUGGCAUGAGCCACCGCGCCCGGCUGCCUUUGGUCUUUUUAAGAGAAAAAAGCUCCACAUUCCCACUCAGCCACUUUCCUGUCUGACCCCUGGAUAUUCCAGCCCUACUGGGAAACGCCAGCCUGUCCUGCAUACCUCAGAGCACUCAGUGUAGCUACCCAAGCCACCCUGCCCCAGGCCAAGCCCCGCCCCAACCACGUCUUUUCUUAAAUGCCACUGCAGGUCAGCUCCAUGUCCAGCCCUGCUUGAGGGGCUCUGGCCAACCUGCCUGCCCGGCGCAGCCCCCGUGCCUCCUGGGUGACUCCAGCACUGCACAGGCUUUCUGGAACCCCUGACAAUACCCACGCCACACCUCACACGGCACCCGUGGCUGUCAGCGAGGCGGGAGAGCUGGAGACCUGUGGCAGGCUCCUACACCAGCACUUAGCAUAACUCACGGCCACCAGCUUCCAACACACUGAUGUCACCUUAAAACACCGGCACAGGAUGAUGACCCACAAAUCCUCAAUGCCACAUUUCCUGUCCUCAGCCCCCAGAAGGCUGACAUCAGUGCACGGCACAGCCCAGCAGCCCAGGGGAGAUCCUGCUGUCUCACAGGAUUGGCACUGCGCCCAGAAAGCCUCUACAGAGGCAGGUCUAGGAGCCUGGCUGGGCCUGAGGCACGUGGUGAGAAGGCGAAGGUGAGCUUCCACUUCCUCAGAGGACACUCGAGGGCUCCUUCCACACCUGCCUAGCACCUCGGCUGCAUCCCCCCACCCCCAGAACAGGGCUGGGCAAACACACGGGCUCCGGAAGUAACCAACUGCCUGCGAGCCAGCUGCUUAAGGCUCAUGGGGUCAAGAUGACGGGUGGUCGGAGCUGUAGAAGGAAGCUGCUCAGGUGAGAUGGCCUGGCCUGCCUCCCUGGGAGGUGAGCCACAGGCAGUGUCAACUUAAGAAGCACCCCGCCCUGUCAGGCAGGGACGACCCCAAGUUUAGCUACACAGUUCUUUUGCUGCCAGGCGGUCCUUCAUUCUGGAAACCAAUCCUGACGUCUCAUCAGGUCCCCAACCCACUCCGCCCCCUUUGCCUUCUUCCUUCCACUUAAAGCUUCUGAAAGUACUACUUCUUAGCAACAGCAUCCCCGCCCCCUUCAGAGACUGCCCGACCACCCUAUCCAAAUCAAAAGACACAAAUUUUGACCCAGUCACAGUACAGGCUUAUUCCUUUCCGUGCUCACUAGCGUC